AACGAACGCUGGCGGCAUGCCUAACACAUGCAAGUCGAACGAGACCUUCGGGGCUAGUGGCGCACGGGUGCGUAACGCGUGGGAACCUGCCCUUAGGUUCGGAAUAACUCCCCGAAAGGGGUGCUAAUACCGGAUAAUGUCUUCGGACCAAAGAUGUAUCGCCUUUGGAUGGGCCCGCGUUGGAUUAGCCAGUUGGUAGGGUAAAAGCCUCCCAAGGCGACGAUCCAUAGCUGGUCGGAGAGGAUGAUCAGCCACACUGGGGCUGAGACACGGCCCAGACUCCUACGGGAGGGAGCAGAGGGGAAUAUUGGACAAGGGGCGAAAGCCUGAUCCAGCAAUGCCGCGGGAGUGAUGAAGGCCUUAGGGUUGUAAAGCUCUUUUACACGGGAUGAUAAUGACAGUACCGGGAGAAUAAGCUCCGGCUAACUCCGUG
rnacentral:rRNA from 1 species